GUGAGGAAUAUUGGUCAAUGGGCGGAAGCCUGAACCAGCCAUGCCGCGUGAAGGACUAAGGCCCUAUGGGUCGUAAACUUCUUUAGACGCAGAGCAAUAAGGGUCUCGAGAGAUCCGAUGAGAGUAUGCGUAGAAUAAGCAUCGGCUAACUCCGUGCCAGCAGCCGCGGUAAUACGGGGGAUGCGAGCGUUAUCCGGAUUUAUUGGGUUUAAAGGGUGCGUAGGCGGAAGUGCAAGUCAGCGGUGAAAUCCCCGCGCUCAACGCGGGAGUUGCCGUUGAUACUGUACAUCUGGAAUGCUCUUGCCGUGGGAGGAAUGAGUAGUGUAGCGGUGAAAUGCAUAGAUAUUACUCAGAACACCGAUUGCGAAGGCAUCUCACGAAGGGGCGAUUGACGCUGAGGCACGAAAGCGUGGGUAUCGAACAGGAUUAGAAACCCUAGUAGUCC
rnacentral:rRNA from 1 species